UACGAAGGGGGCUAGCGUUGUUCGGAAUUACUGGGCGUAAAGCGUGCGCAGGCGGUCUUCCAAGUCAGUGGUGAAAGCCUGGAGCUCAACUCCAGAACUGCCAUUGAAACUGUUAGACUUGAGUACGAGAGAGGUGAGUGGAAUUCCCAGUGUAGAGGUGAAAUUCGUAGAUAUUGGGAAGAACACCAGUGGCGAAGGCGGCUCACUGGCUCGUAACUGACGCUCAGGCGCGACAGCGUGGGGAUCAAACAGG
rnacentral:rRNA from 1 species